GAAGCGUGAUGCCCUUGUGGUUCUUGGAAAUGAAGUAUGUGACUUGAAUGCCAUUUCAUGGCGUCAGCUGUAGUCCUUACCUAGGUUUUUGCCAAGGCAGUGCAAAGCUCCAAACCCUCAUUACAAACAUAUUAUAGACUGCAAAACCUGCUUUGAAGAAUGGCAAAAGAAAGGGUGGUGAAAUAAAUUACUCAGUCGAAAAUCAAAUGAAUAAAUGCACCACUUUGACGACCCAGAGAUGAUUCCUCUUCCAUGUUCAUGACAACUACCUUCCUUCCAACCCGAUCUGAUGACAUUACUUUCGGCUCAGAAUUUCCACGCCAUCUCUGUCACUUCCUUGAUUUUCCCCAUCAUUCCCUGUCCAUUCUGUAUAUAAAUCCGCUCAUCUCAUGAUCCUUUUGUCCUUCUUAGGAUUUCAAAUCAUUGUAUCAGCCCCAAUAGACUACUCAGACCUUUCAGUAUACGGGGGAUUCAACCCCAAACCUUUAUGAGCAUGACAUCUCUCAUUUAUAUCUUCAUAAUAGAUAAAGCUUUAUUAAAUAAGUUCUUUAAAUAAAUAAACACAUAGAUAAAUAAAUAUACA